GCCCCGGUAGCUUAAGCGGAUAAAGCCCUUUCCUCACGAAAAAGGCGAUGCCGGUUCGAAUCCGGCCCGGGGCG
rnacentral:tRNA from 1 species